rnacentral:rRNA from 1 species
UGACAUUACCUAUAGAAGAAGCACCGGCUAACUCCGUGCCAGCAGCCGCGGUAAUACGGAGGGUGCAAGCGUUAAUCGGAAUUACUGGGCGUAAAGCGUGCGUAGGCGGUUAGUUUAGUCAGAUGUGAAAGCCCCGGGCUUAACCUGGGAACUGCAUUUGAUACUGGCUGACUAGAGUUUAAUAGAGGAGAGUGGAAUUUCAGGUGUAGCGGUGAAAUGCGUAGAGAUCUGAAGGAACACCAGUGGCGAAGGCGACUCUCUGGAUUAAAACUGACGCUGAGGUACGAAAGCGUGGGUAGCAAACAGGAUUAGAUACCCUGGUAGUCCACGCCGUAAACGAUGUCAACUAGCCGUUGGGCCUAUAUACAGGCUUAGUGGCGCAGCUAACGCAUUAAGUUGACCGCCUGGGGAGUACGGCCGCAAGGUUAAAACUCAAAUGAAUUGACGG